rnacentral:lncRNA from 1 species
AUAUUCAUUCACUGAUUCACAAAUUAACACACAGUUAAACAUACUAAAAUACCUAAUACUGAGUUGUUUAGUGCAAUGGCUGCCUCAUUAAAAACCUAUCUAGGUAAAAACUCACCCUUGUGAGAAAACCCUAGAUAGGAAAAAAGAGUACAGCCCACAGCUCUUUUAGUUUUCUUACAUAUCACAGAGUUACAGUGUACAGUUUAGUUACAGCCAUACAGGCACAAGCUGAAGUAUGCAAACUAGCUAAAUAAGAUCAGUCUUGGACAUGUGGUUGUGGAUCAGUAGGUGUCUGAGAUUGAGAUUGAGAGGACCCUGGAGUGUCAACUGGAACUUGUUCAUCAUCAAGAUAUAGAUCAGAGAAUGAGUCUUCAAGUUCUUUGUUCUCAACAGUAUGUUGGGUCCUUGCAUUCCCUUCCUCCUAGUCCUUGAUGCAGGUCAUCAUCUCGACCAUCUCCGAGGUCAGUCGACGCUCCUCGAUAAUCCUGCCAGUGGGACUGAAAGCACUUUCUGAUGAAAUGGUAGAGACAUGCACAGUUAGUACAUCCUUAGCCAACAUAGAAAGAGAUGGGUAGGUCAGCUUGUGAUCCUGCCACCACGUCAAUAGAUUAAAGUCAUCAUCAUAUUUCUAGACAGUAUCACUAUCCAAAUAUGCUGAUAACUCAGAACCAGCCCCAAGAGAUGCACAAUUGCUUGCUGCUUGCAGCAAAGCACUAGCUGAAGUGUGUCUAGAUAGAGAAGCAGAUGGAGUGGGGUUGGAAGAAGAACCUGUUCCACCAAUUGGGGUUGAAAACAAAUCAUCAUCAUCAUCACCAUAUAUCAUACCACAGUUAGUCCUUUUCUUACCAGUCCUUGUUGUUUGUGAGGGUCUAACUGAGGGCAUUGCACCAAACUUAGUUGCAUACUUGUUAAAUACCUCAGUUAAUUGUGCUCUCACAAGAGUUAAAUAACUAGAGUAAUCAUGGUGUGUGACACCAGCUAAAAUAGAUAGAACUCUAUUGAAGCCCCUCAAUUUAGCUCUAGGAUCAAGAAUGAAUGCAAAUGAAUAGAGAAGUGGAAUAUCCCUCCAGUACUUAAGGAACUUAGUUUGCAUAGGAAAAACAACAGUUCCAAGCAAUCUAUCAUGUUCAUAUGAAUUUAGAUGUUUAGCAAUCUGAAUUAUAUGAUGCAUCAUCAAUGAAGAUGUUGGAUAGUAGACACCAGAUAGAACACAAGUUGAGUCAUAAAAUAGUUCAAGGAAUACCAGGAUUUUUUCAGCAACAUACCAGUGAUCAUCAGACAAAAGCAAAGGUUCACCUACAGCUCUAGGGUAGUGAGUUUGAAUGAACACAUCAAAUGUGUUCCUGUAAGGCAGUAGAUGCUUAAGCAUAAGGUAAGUGGAGUUCCACCUUACCUCCAUAUCCAAUCCAAACUUACGAGGACGUGUAUUCAUAGCAAUGCAAUAUGAUUUGUAUAAAGCAGUGCGUUGAUUAGAAGAGUUCAGAAAAGAUAUAGCAGUUCUAAAUGAUUCUAUAUAAGGUUGAAUCCUUUUUAAACCAGACUUAACAAUCAAAUUCAGAAUAUGACAUGCACACCUUUGAUGCAAACAAACAUCCCCAACAUAACCAUUAAGUAGAGGAGUAAGUCUCCCCAUAGCAGAGGUAUUAGCAGAAGCAUUGUCCAGGGUUACAGAAAAUGUUUUAUCAUUAAGACCAUAUUCUUUUAACACCUCUAAUAUUCUCUCAGAUAUGUUUUCACCACUAUGUGAGACAUCAAUUAGCCUUAGUCCUAUUAUCCUUUUUCCAAUUCCCAUGCAGAAUUAACAUAAUGCACAACAACACUCAAGUAAUCCUCUUUAGCAUUCCCAGACCAUAUAUCAGAUGUCACAGCAACAGAAGAAACAAAUUUUUUAAAUGUGUCAACAAGCUUAGCACGUGAAUCAUUGUAAUACUUUUUAAUAUCUCUAGUGGUUGUUUGCCUAGAGACAACAGAAAAUCUAGGAUUAUGAGCCUUUUUAAUGUACUCUUCAAAAGCAGAUGAUUCAGCCAAGCAAAUAGGUAGAUCAAGCCUACAUAUCAAACGACACAUCUCAGACCUAGCAACAUCAGCAUUGUACUCCCACAAUCUAGCACUACCAUCAGGAUUAAACUGGAGCAGGGACUGGGCAAAGGCAUUUCUGCCAUGCUUCAAUUUGCAUGCAUUUCUAUGGCGAUUAAGAUGGCCAGUGCCACCAGUUGAUUUAGCAGACAAAACACACUUGCAAACUUUGCACUUAGCCUCACACCUUACCCUCACACCAUCAACAACCUUAUAUAUCUUGUCAAAAUCAUUCCAAACAUCAGAUGUGGAAGCUCUAUUUCUUACCCGAGAACUUGUAGGUGUGUCUGUCCCCCCAGCCUGUUCCACAGUAGGGUCAGGAUCUAUAUUGAUGGGCUCCGUUGAAGGAACUGUAGCCUCACUGCCGCCAGUUUGUGCAGGCACAGGCACGGUGUCGUCGUCGGCCAUCAAGCACAGAUCACAAGCACAGAGGCACAGAACACCAGAUCACAAUCACAGAGGCACAAAGCUAGAGCACCAGAUCGGCCCCUCACGGCUACAACCACAGAACAAAGAACAGAUCACACAAACAAGCAUCAGAUUACACAUACUAACAAAGAACAGAUCAAGGAACUAGAAUAGAUUAGGGUCAGAUUAAUAACUUACCAAAGCCGGAGCACCAGAUCGGUCCCUCACAGCUACAACCUCCAAUCACAGAGUAAGGAACUAGAAUAGAUUAGGGUUCAUCGGUUUGACCAGAGAUCCAGAGGCGACAAACACAAAUCAGAAGCACAAGCAAAAGAUUAGCAACUUACCAAAGCCAAACGCCGAGACCAGAGCACCAGAUCGGUCCCUCACGGCUCCAAUCACAGAACAUGCAGGCAGUAUAAUAGAUUAGGGUUCGAACACAGCUCACAGAUCACAAGCACAGAUCACAAGCAUAGAUCACAAGCACAGAUCACAAGCAUCAGAUUAAUAACUUACCAAAGGUCCAAAGCCGGAGCACCAGAUCGGUCCCUCACGGAUCCAACCUCCAAACACAGAACAAGGCGGUAUAAUUGAUUAGGGUUCGUCGGUUUGAACAAGAUCCAGAGGCGACAAACACAAAGUAGAAGCACAAGCAAACCGCAAAUGAUUAGCAACUUACCAAAGCCGGACCGGAGCACCAGAUCGAUACCUCAUGGCUCCAACCUUCAAUUCGGGUAGGGUUAAAGCACGGUUAGGGUUCGUCACAGAACAAUCACAGAACAGUCCUCAAAUCUAGAUGCGAAAAACACAAAUCAGAAGAACAAGCACGUGAUUAGCAACUUACCAAAGCCGGAGCACCAGAUCCAACCCCGACGGCACGAUGAUUAGGGUUAAAGCACGGUUAGGGUUACGCACCGACGCAGCGUUACAGGGAGAGGGAGCCGUAGAGGGGAGACCGGGAGAGAGACCAGAAGAAGAACAGAAGUUCAAGAUCAGAGCACCAAACUUAGGGUUUCGAACUAGAUCCAGAGGCGACACGAGCAAGAGAGCACAACCGGCCAAGAGGAUAGUGUUACCAGCAGAGGCGUCGGAGAGGGAGAGGACCAGAUUGUUGAGAAACCCUAAUGAAGGGUUAUGUGGGCAAAUACCGAAUAUAGCCCUGAGGGCUAUCGCGUCUCUAUAUAUAGAACUUGUACCCCUCAUAUGGAAGUGUGAAGAGAAAGAGGCCAGAGGCCCAACCCUAUAUUCAGUGUCUCGUGUGUUUCCUCUGUCGUGCUUAUGGGAAGGGAGACGGGUCUUCCACAACUUCUCGCGCCUCUACUGCUGACGGGAGGGAAGGGAGCGGAUCUGGUGAUCCGUGGUAAUGUAGUUCUCAACACGUUAUCAGCACGCUCUACCUCGAUGUUGCUGCGAGAUCAGAUCUGCAUCAACUCUUCGUCAAGCCGGCAGGUCCUCCGGCCUAGCCGAACUGUCCUACGCGACAGGCUUCGAUUCUCCCUCUACACACGAGCGGUAUGUUUAUUGGUUGAUCCGUUAUUGUGUACGGAUUGUAAUUCAUGCGCGACAAACUGCCAUUGACGUAGUGGUGUUGCGCCCACGCGUUGGGAGAAAUCUUGCGUGCAUGGUCAAAGAUACGGCAAUAAACUGGCCUAGCCUAAAUGGAUGUGGUCUGAUCCCUCCUCUGAACCGUUCAACCGAGGGAGAGAGUGCAGCAGUUGCAUGCGUGCAUGCACUCCUCCUUUUACCGAGUAAAAAAAUGUGUGGUGGUGGGGCUCUCAUCCCCACGCAUGCAGGAGCUCCCAAGAGCGGGUCAUCCGGCUAAAAAAAAUGUGCAUGCACUUCUUUGACCAGGCGUGAUGAGUGGCUGAGAAAAGAAAGGAGAGAGAGAGGAGUUGGCAUAUCACAGUGCAGUGUGUAGACAAGAGCAAAUGAUAUGUCGUGGACCAUUUCCUUUCCUCUACUCCUUUUCGGUUGGAUAAACAAUAAGGCUACGUGCUUUCUAGGGGCCGCAUGCGUUGCAGCCGAUGGCCGUUUCCAGUCGUACACCAACAUGGAGUAGCCCCUCGUCUAAAUUACUCAUCCCACCGUUAUAUGAAAAUAAUCUAAGCAACUCCUUGAUUUGCUUGACAAAAAUAAAAUAAAGCAUGUUUUACGUUGUCAUUUCUACCUUAAUUAAUUAUUUUCCGGAGUAAAUAAUUAGUAGAAAAAUACAUGCUUAAAUAUGAAAAAUUGCCUUUUACACAUGAUGUGUUAUGUUUAUGCAUUAAUUAUUUAUUAUGUUUGUUUUCUGCUUUUAUUUCCUGUAGAAGAUACUUAGCAGAAAAUUAAAAUACAUAUGAAGGCUUUAUUGUGCAUACUUAAACCGCUCUAAAUAUUUAUAUUAUGUUGAGCUUUUGAACUCACGCCGAGCAAUUAAAUUGUAUAGUGGGUACUCGGACACGCCGAUCAGGCUGCGUUGGUAAUCGACCGAGUUAUGGCACUGGCUGCGCCCUGGCAACACGACGCAGUAUUUGUGUCGUACGAAUUUGGUUGCGUCAUGUGAUUGCUAUGUCGCGCUCUCACUUAAUCGGACCACUCCUGUUCAGUUGGAUCUCCAUCGCCGAGUCACAUACUUUUCGCAUGCCCUGUAGGCACUGUUCGUUUGUCGUUAUCAUCGAGCCACAAUUGCGCCUGUUGCGCACGUUGCGUGGACUUAUCGUGUACCCCGAUUACUGAGCCAUAAUUGUGUCUGUUGCGCUUAUUACGAAGGCUUGUUGUGUUGUCGUGGCCCUGAUGGCCGCACACGCGUUGACACUAGACGCUAGAGCUUGUACUCGCGUGGAUUGUGGUGGGUUGUUCAAGCCCCUGAAGUCACAUCAUAACGCAACCUUUAUAAACAAUUUUGUUUGACUCUAUAUUUUAUUUGAUUGUGUUGUGUGGCAUCAUAUAUUUAUAUAUAUCGCCAAGUAGCCAUAACAACUAUAUCAAGCUCUAUAGUGCUUGAAAAUCUGGGAAAUUAAAUUGAAAUACAAUUAAACACAGAUAAAUUAAUUUUCUGCUCUCUCCUCAUGCAUAAAGUUUUACCCGAAGUAACCCGAAGAUAUAUAAUAUAAUGCAUGAAAGCCUUUUUGGCAUAGAAGACAUCACAAAUUGGGAUUCUAUUAGUAAGCAAAAGGCUUUACCAAAUAAUUGAAGACUAUAAAUCUCAGCCAUACAUUGCUCAACCAGAUGUUAGCACAUUGCUCUCUUUGUCGCUAAAUGACAUGAAGCAAACUAUGAGAUAAAAGGACAUGUAAUCGCCAACAACACGAAGUUGUGAGUAUACCGAGUGGUUAUUCUAAGAAAAUUUUCACUAUAUUGAUGUGAAAACCAUAGUGUGUUCCCGUCGAACCACUUUACUCGUUCUAUCUAGAACCUCUAUGCUUGUGUCGCAUACAUCUCUCGGAAUUGUAAAUACUUAUAGUCGCUGAAUUGACUCGGGAUAGUCCUUUGACAAGUUUGGUAUACACUGUAAGCUAAAUGGUAAAGGUCGGUCCUGAAUGGACACAUACCUGGGGUUUAUAUAGCCGAACUACACUGAAUUCCACCCUUUGGCAUGCUUACCAUUAUCUAUCUCUGAUCUACCAGAAGUGAGAAGAGUAGACAAAUAACUAUGAAAUCCCACAUCACCAGAGAGCUUGAAGCUAAAUUAGACAUUAAUGUGUCCUUGGUCCUCGGAGCCAGAAGAGUCAUAUGUCUUGACCACUAGACUACUAGUGAUGAUAAUUUGUGAUAGAAAUAUGAAGAUCUUGUAGAGACCUAUUGUAUCCUCUCUACUCCUGAUGAUUUCUUCGUAUGAGAGCAGUACUAUCUGUUGUUGAAGACGGAUCCUAGGCGGAUGCCAGUCUUGUUUCAUUCUUGCCAAGCAGUUAUCAUCAUUUGUUUCAUGAAAAGCUAGUUAUAUGGUGAUUUUUCUCAUAUAAAAAUGAAUUCUUGGCCUUGUCUGUUCUAUUCCAAAGCUUCUCUUUUUGUUGAACAAUGAAGAGAUCGAAAUAAUGCUUUAUAGAACAAGUUGGUAUAUAAUAUGAGGAGAAAUAUUUGCCCUGCUGGCAACACCAUAAAUAAUUGACUAUUGUUAUAAGUUCUCUCUCAAAGUUAUUAUACCUAAAAAUGUUGCAUUAAUCGAUACCCAAUUUCAGAGCGGUAUGAGUAAUUGGGUAAACCAUGGGCAGUGAUAAAAACGAGCUGGACUAUACAUAUCUGCAUAUAAAAAUCUUUGCUUGGCAGCAUUGGCCUGAUGUCGUGCACUUUACUACCAAUAUAAGCACACACAUUUUUCCUAUGUGCCUCGAAGCACAAUACAACCAGUGAAUGUCUUUGUGAGCGUUAGACCCUGAUGGUCAUUUUACUUGUUGAUCUGAAGUCAACUAAUGGCUCAAAACGACGAAUGGUAUUCAUGAGCCCCUGAAGAUGCCUUAUGGAUAAAAUAAGUGUUGUGCAUGUUAGUCUAAAUCUUAAUGAUUGACUGUGCAUUUGGUAAUAAUAACAAUAAGUUUGCAGAAUUGUAACCAUGAAGCAACUUGUUGUUGCGUGUCUCGCUGAAUGUUGAGACUAACCCUUCAUGUUGAAGGACAAAUAUGUAGUAUUCAUGCCACUACAUUAAUCUAAGUCCAAAGCUCACUGCAUAAAACCACUAUCUGUAAUGUGCGUAAGAUUUCCCAAAUAAAUCACCACAAUAGCAUACAUUGGCCACAACUGGAUGAUUGUGGUUGGGGAUUUUAUCUGUAUGCUUUUAGAACAUCUCGGCAUUAGGGGGAGGAAUGCCCAUAUAAUGUAAUGCCUCAAUAUUCUAUUAAACGCACAAAAGCCAAAUUGAACCUGUCGUUCGGUGUGUACUCCUGUGUAUAUGGAGUUUGCCAGAAAUCGUUGAGGAUUAACCAUAUUGGUUUGAAUGCUUCUACCUGAUGUAGAUGUGGAUAUACCCGGGAUUAAUAUCAUAUCCACAUUUGACUUAUUGGCAUUUGAUCUAUUCUGUGGGGACGCCUGCGGAUAUGAUCCAUCGGCCUUAGUCAAAGCAUAUGUUCUGAUUGCAGAUUCACGUGGUCUGUCAUAACUCUCCUCCGAUUAAUUCACCCUGAUGGUGAUUUGCCUCACGAAGAGGUUCAUCUUGAUGAUGAAAUUCCUAGCAAUGCGUGCAAUAUCAUUGUGCUAGGAAUUCGGAACAAUGAAUCUUUCGUUUUGGGAAAUGACGGAGCUCAUUAUUAAAUGUGGGAGACAAAUAUGUCGACACUUAUCUUGCCUCUAUAGAUUGCAAAGGGAUCCAAAAACAAAGUCCUAGGCAUGAGUGCUUGAAGCUCUCUUAUCGGGUCAUUGAUAAAUGCAAUCGAGGCUGAACCAAUAAUCGCAAAAUGAAAGUCACGAGCUUGAAGUUCGGACAUUUAUGGGCACUAUUGAAAUAAUGUGUGGUGAAUGCGAUGGUUCAAGUAGUCUUGUAAGAGACCCAUCCCACAUAUGUGUUGAAUAAACACAGUUCCGCUAUGUAAUAUAUCUGGCAAACGACAUGAAUUAUAAUAUGCAGUUAAUAGGAUUCUGAAGAUCCGUCAUGAGAUCCUAGGAGGACUCAUAUAUUUGAAUUGUAAAUAUGCAACAUAUAAAUCUCGUACUGAAUAAUACAUUCCUGACGAAUGAGCACUCUCAUAUAGAGAGAGAAUAUCUCCUAGAUGAGAUUAUAGUUCCUUGAUGGAACCUUUCCAGAAGAAAUAAAGUCUGUGUUAAACACCAAAGUUUGAUAAUCCCUAUAAAGGGAUAAAGACCCAUACAGACCCGAAAAGGAAUAAGAUGAGGUACCAAAGGACUUGAAGUUCACCGAAUAAGCACAUGUGCAUUCCACGAGUUUUACUCAUGGUAUUUUCCACUUGAUGUGGAAUUACGGUAUCCUCUAAAGCCCCGAUGGCAGAAACCUAUAAGGUUUAGGUGUUACUGGCAAAAUAUCCCCAUUAUGCCAGAAUGAUAGACUAUAAUGAUGUAUCUGAUCGAUGAAAAAUCCCUGAUGGAUUAUGAUCUUAGAUGGACUUUUGUGACACCAUCAUAGAUGUUGCAAUGGAUGAACGCCUCGAGCGAUGUGUCAUAUUUAGAAUAUGUACUAUUGCAACUAUAUUAUCCCCUAAGUCCUAUUGAAGGACAUGUUAUUUGCUUUGCACAACUAUGUAUAAAUUGUGGUGUAAGAUAGAAAAUGAUAGCACCCCAACCUCAUCCAUUCUCGUUAUUCCAGAUGAACAAUGAGAUAUAUAUCUUGAAGAAUAUGCUUGAGUUAUGAGGGAUACCGACUUUGACAUAUGUCAUCGUCAGGGGGAGCGAAUGCUUAUAUUGAUCACAAUCGUGUGACAAUAAAUGUCAUAUUCUAUGCCCUGAAGGCGUCAGCUUGAUGAUCAAUAUGUGAACCUUUAUGGAAGUUUCUAUCAAAUAUGUAGAUCUGGUCGAUCGAACACCACUAGUUGAAGUGGCUUAUUUAUGUUGAUACGUGCACUUACCUCAUGUAUCCUAGAAGUGAGUUGAGGUGAAGUUCC